UCAGAGACACACAGCAGACCUCAGUGCUUCCCUGACUGGAACUCAGCAACUCUGCCCUGUGGCUGGCAGUGCUAGUGGCCUUUGGGUCUGGUUGUGCCUUGAAACUGCUUGCAAUGGAAGAAACCAAUGCACUUCAGCAUCACUGUUAGCCACACCGAGCUGGUGAAUGUGCAGAGCAGCAGCUGUCACCUUCAGGACCAUGUAUCUCCACUAUAAAAGGGGUACAGAGGCGCUCUGAAGCAGCUGGAGCAAUGGGAGGAAACGUUCAAGAGACAAAGGCAGGAGAACUCACCCUGUGGCCCCAGGGGCAUGUGGAGAGCAGGCUGUUGCAUCGCUGUAAGGUGAGGCUGUCUUGGCUGAAGUGACAGUCACCUUGUUUUUCAUCUCGGCUCAAAGUGCUCUUGAACCAGACCACCCAGCCCAUGGAUGGCAUUUCUUGAAGGCAGUUAUUGCAAGACAGAUUAGUGCAUUUGGAAAGGCUGUAAGUGAUUUUUGCCUGAUCUAUGAUUUGUGUCCUUCUUUCUUCAUCAAGUGAUUUGUAUCAUUGCCAGCACCUGUGUGUGUCCGGCAUCUGUAUUUUAAGGGAUACAGAAUGGCAAGGCACAAAAAGAGGGCAUCUUCCCUGAGGUUGUCACUGCAGGUUACCUAACUGCCUCCAUGAAGAAAGCUACUGAGGCAUCAGAGUAGGAUGGUUGCUGUUGGAGAUGUCUGCUGAAGGAUGGGACCUGUGCCAUCCGAGGGAGCUGCAGCCUUCGCCUUGCCCGAAAGGCAGCCUCUGGCUGCACUUUGCUGUCCUGCCUGUUGCUGACUGCAGUGACAAAAUUGUUAGGUGCUGAUCAGUGUCUGUGAAGCCUUCAGCUCAUUAUCUUCUGGGGAAAAGUGGAUUUCCAGACAUCAGCUCCUGCCUGUGAACUCGUAGGCCUGAGUAACCCUUGUGCCGACAGAUGCUGCCCAGUGUAACCCCUGCAGGCUGGGGGAUGGUAGCACCAUCUCCUUUCAGGGGAAGGUGUGGGACUCUCACCUGGAUUUUGAAUGCUCCACAAUUAAGGGCUGUCUGUGUCCGGUGAUUCAGCCCUUGACAAGGUUAGAGGCUUCUCAUGGAUCUACUGCUGUGGCUUUUCCUGCAGAAAGCAUAGUCCAAACUAUCUGGGGGAUAAGUUCUGAGGUCUCUUAUUUAAUCUUGAGCAUUAAAGAGAUAAGUUUGCCCCAGUUCACCUGACAGAGCAGAUACCUGACAUGUCUAAAAGAAGACCUCUUUCUAUAGCUGCAACAAAUAUGAAUUUAAGAGCUUGAAUUACCCAGGUUUCACCAAAAUGAAACCCAGUGCCUCUGUCCACAUUGCUGAGGUUUAGAGCAAAGCUCAAUUCCUAGAUUCAGAGCACUCUUGUUUGCAAACGUUAUCGUUUGUGACUAACAACUCCAUCAUGUCUGAGACCAUGGAGCUGUGACAUGACUAAACCCCCCUCUGCCAGACUACAGGCUGCUUUAUGCUUUAUAGAGGCUCGUAACUGCUGUGAUUCACUGUCUGGAGAGAACUCCUCUCUCUGAGGUGCUUUGUCUGAAUCGACGCUCCGAAAGCAGCUGUCUCUGGCAUCAGUUGUAUUUGCCUUCAGCAGGACAGUCUCCUUUUCAAGAGGAGAAAGCAAGCAUCUUUUUGAGGAGCAGAUUAACCAUAACAGCCACUUUUGAUGUCUUAAACUGCAGAGGCUGUAGCUGCCACAGGAAAUGCACUCAGACAAGCAGCCUUCUCUGCACAUCAAGCCACAUUGAAAGGGGUAGUGAGGCUAACACAGUAUCAUGAUACAUUGCCUCUUUGAAGGCUGGUCCAUUUGUAUUCUAUCUUAACCUGCAUUUGGGCUGUGUUUUGAAGGCUGUAAAAGCAGCUUUGGUUCAGGACCGUGUGCUUUCCAAAUCUUUGUUCUCCCAUACUGAGAAUGCAGGAAGUGGAAUGAAUUCACCUGUUCCUUCCCGCAGCUUUGAAGGGCAGCCUCAUUAUACCUCUGGUUUUAGGCAACAUUUUUCUUUGACCAGAAUUAGUUGUUCUGUCUUGGUGCAGUUUGCAAAACAGUUUGCGCUCCCCAGUGCCGCUGUGAGAGCUCCAGGCAGCCUGUGGUGAAUUCAGCAGAGCAAACCUUGCAGGGCAAGGCAGGUUUGCAGAACGGAUCCCCAAGCUUGUAUUGUCAAACACUUUGACAAAAUGAGAAGUAAAAUUUGUUGUUGAUAAAUUGCAGCGAUGCACAUGGGAGGAAAAACACACUCAGUGAUGGUCUCUGAACUAGCUAUUAACUCCGAGAUCUCUUUCCUGAGUGGUUUUGUAGAACUAUCCAUUAUAUUGUCAACUCAGCAGCAAAGCAAAACAAACUAAACCCUCAACUGGAAUGGGAGGAAUUACUAGGAAAAGACUAGAGAAUAAAGCAAAAAGCAUCAUGUGUGGCUGUAUAAAUCUGUUCUGCACCCACAUUUUAAACACUUUAUCCAGUU